rnacentral:rRNA from 1 species
GCAAGUCGAACGGGUUAUCUUUGUAGCUUGCUAUAGAGAUAAUUAGUGGCAGACGGGUGAGUAAUGCAUAGGAAUCUACCUAGUAGUAUAGGAUAGCCACUAGAAAUGGUGGGUAAUACUGUAUAAUCCCUGCGGGGGAAAGAUUUAUCGCUACAUGAUGAGCCUAUGUUAGAUUAGCUAGUUGGUAGGGUAAAGGCCUACCAAGGCGAUGAUCUAUAGCUGGUCUGAGAGGAUGAUCAGCCACACUGGAACUGAGAUACGGUCCAGACUCCUACGGGAGGCAGCAGUGGGGAAUAUUGGACAAUGGGCGCAAGCCUGAUCCAGCUAUGCCGCGUGAGUGAGGAAGGCCUUAGGGUUGUAAAACUCUUUCAGUAGGGAAGAUAAUGACGGUACCUACAGAAAAAGUCCCGGCAAACUC